GGGCACAUGGUGUAGUUGGUUAUCACGCUCGCUUAGCAUCGUUCUGCUUUGCCAACUGCGAGAGGUGUCCGGUUCAAUUCCGGAUGUGUCCA